GCCCCGGUAAACGGCGGCCGUAACUAUAACGGUCCUAAGGUAGCGAAAUUCCUUGUCGGGUAAGUUCCGACCUGCACGAAUGGCGUAAUGAUGGCCAGGCUGUCUCCACCCGAGACUCAGUGAAAUUGAACUCGCUGUGAAGAUGCAGUGUACCCGCGGCAAGACGGAAAGACCCCGUGAACCUUUACUAUAGCUUGACACUGAACAUUGAGCCUUGAUGUGUAGGAUAGGUGGGAGGCUUUGAAGUGUGGACGCCAGUCUGCAUGGAGCCGACCUUGAAAUACCACCCUUUAAUGUUUGAUGUUCUAACGUGGGCCCCUUACCGGGGUUGCGGACAGUGUCUGGUGGGUAGUUUGACUGGGGCGGUCUCCUCCUAAAGAGUAACGGAGGAGCACGAAGGUUGGCUAAUCCUGGUCGGACAUCAGGAGGUUAGUGCAAUGGCAUAAGCCAGCUUGACUGCGAGCGUGACGGCGCGAGCAGGUGCGAAAGCAGGUCAUAGUGAUCCGGUGGUUCUGAAUGGAAGGGCCAUCGCUCAACGGAUAAAAGGUACUCCGGGGAUAACAGGCUGAUACCGCCCAAGAGUUCAUAUCGACGGCGGUGUUUGGCACCUCGAUGUCGGCUCAUCACAUCCUGGGGCUGAAGUAGGUCCCAAGGGUAUGGCUGUUCGCCAUUUAAAGUGGUACGCGAGCUGGGUUUAGAACGUCGUGAGACAGUUCGGUCCCUAUCUGCCGUGGGCGCUGGAGAACUGAGGGGGGCUGCUCCUAGUACGAGAGGACCGGAGUGGACGCAUCACUGGUGUUCGGGUUGUCAUGCCAAUGGCACUGCCCGGUAGCUAAAUGCGGAAGAGAUAAGUGCUGAAAGCAUCUAAGCACGAAACUUGCCCCGAGAUGAGUUCUCCCUGAGACUUAGAGUCUCCUGAAGGAACGUUGAAGACGACGACGUUGAUAGGCCGGGUGUGUAAGCGCAGCGAUGCGUUGAGCUAACCGGUACUAAUGAACCGUGAGGCUUAACCUUACAACGCCGAAG
rnacentral:rRNA from 1 species